rnacentral:rRNA from 1 species
UACGUAGGGUGCAAGCGUUGCCCGGAUUUAUUGGGCGUAAAGGGCGCGUAGGCGGCUCGGCACGUCCGUUGUGAAAUCGCCCGGCUCAACUGGGCGGGGUCAGCGGAUACGGUCGAGCUUGAGCAAGCUAGGGGGCAACGGAAUUCCCGGUGUAGUGGUGGAAUGCGUAGAUAUCAGGAGGAACACCUGUGGUGUAGACAGCUUACUGGACCAUUUCUGACGCUGAGACACGAAAGCGUGGGUAGCAAACAGG